UCCGAGUUGACCCCGGCAGUCUCCUGCGAGUCCCCGCCAUUACGCGCUGGCAACACAGGACAAGGGUUGCGCUCGUUGCGGGACUUAACCCAACAUCUCACGACACGAGCUGACGACAGCCAUGCACCACCUGUAUACCGACCACAAGGGGGGCCGUAUCUCUACGGCUUUCCGGUAUAUGUCAAACCCAGGUAAGGUGGGGAUGACGUAACACGCAAUAACA
rnacentral:misc_RNA from 1 species